GCCGUUGUAGUCAAGAUGGAUAAAGACAACAGACUGUAAAUCUGUCGCUUAUAGCUUCGGAGGUUCGAAUCCUUCCAACGGCACCA
rnacentral:tRNA from 1 species